rnacentral:rRNA from 1 species
CCUACGGGAGGCAGCAGUGGGGAAUUUUGGACAAUGGGCGAAAGCCUGAUCCAGCAAUGCCGCGUGUGGGGAGAAGGCCUUCGGGUUGUAAACCACUUUUGUACGGAACGAAACGGUCUGCCUUAAUACGGUGGGCUAAUGACGGUACCGUAAGAAUAAGCACCGGCUAACUACGUGCCAGCAGCCGCGGUAAU